GAUGAACGCUGGCGGCGUGCUUAACACAUGCAAGUCGAGCGGAAAUAUGCAAUCGGAGAGCUUCGGCAGGAAGAUUACAUAUUUUAGCGGCGGACGGGUGAGUAACGUGUGGGCAACCUGCCCUGUACUGUGGAAUAAUCACUGGAAACGGUGACUAAUACCGCAUGUCAUUGCGAGAGGGCAUCCUCUUGCAAGAAAAGGAUUUAUUCGGUACAGGAUGGGCCCGCAUCUGAUUAGCUAGUUGGUGAGAUAACAGCCCACCAAGGCAACGAUCAGUAGCCGACCUGAGAGGGUGAUCGGCCACAUUGGGACUGAGACACGGCCCAAACUCCUACGGGAGGCAGCAGUGGGGAAUAUUGCACAAUGGGCGAAAGCCUGAUGCAGCAACGCCGCGUGAAGGAAGAAGGGUUUCGGCUCGUAAACUUCUAUCAAC
rnacentral:rRNA from 1 species